rnacentral:rRNA from 1 species
AUUGAACGCUGGCGGCAGGCCUAACACAUGCAAGUCGAACGAGUGGCGGACGGGUGAGUAAUGUCUGGGAAACUGCCUGAUGGAGGGGGAUAACUACUGGAAACGGUAGCUAAUACCACAUACCAUCGGAUGUGCCCAGAUGGGAUUAGCUAGUAGGUGGGGUAACGGCUUACCUAGGCGACGAUCCCUAGCUGGUCUGAGAGGAUGACCAGCACCACUGGAACUGGGGAACGGUCACGCCUCCUCCGGGAGGCAGAAUUGGGGAAUAUUGCACAAUGGGCGCAAGCCUGAUGCAGCAAUGCCGCGUGUAUGAAGAAGGCCUUCGGGUUGUAAAGUACUUUCAGCGGGGAGGCGUUACCCGCCGAAGAAGCACCGGCUAACUCCGUGCCAGCAGCCGCGGUAAUUC